GUCGGUGGUAGAUAGCUACAGGGAAACGCCCGGUCCCAUUCCGAACCCGGAAGCUAAGCCUGUACACGCUGAUGGUACUGCAGCCGGGAGGUUGUGGGAGAGUAAGUCACCGCCGACA
rnacentral:rRNA from 1 species